rnacentral:rRNA from 1 species
GAUGAACGCUAGCGGGAGGCCUAACACAUGCAAGCCGAGCGGUAGAGUUUCUUCUGAAACUUGAGAGCGGCGCACGGGUGCGUAACACGUGUGCAACCUACCUUUAUCUGGGGGAUAGCCUUUCGAAAGGAAGAUUAAUACCCCAUAAUAUAAUGAUUGGCAUCAAUUAUUAUUGAAAACUCCGGUGGAUAGAGAUGGGCACGCGCAAGAUUAGAUAGUUGGUGAGGUAACGGCUCACCAAGUCAAUGAUCUUUAGGGGUCCUGAGAGGGAGAUCCCCCACACUGGUACUGAGACACGGACCAGACUCCUACGGGAGGCAGCAGUGAGGAAUAUUGGACAAUGGGUGAGAGCCUGAUCCAGCCAUCCCGCGUGAAGGAUGACGGUCCUAUGGAUUGUAAACUUCUUUUGUACAGGGAUAAACCUACUCUCGUGAGGGUAGCUGAAGGUACUGUACGAAUAAGCACCGGCUAACUCCGUG